UACGAGGGGUGCAAGCGUUGCUCGGAAUUAUUGGGCGUAAAGGGUAGGUAGGUGGUCUCAUUUGUCUGGGGGUGAAAGCCUUGAGCUUAACUCAAGAAGUGCCCCCGGAAACGGUGAGACUGGAGUCCCUGGGAGAGGGGUCGUGGAAUUCCCCGGUGUAGCGGUGAAAUGCGUAGAGAUCGGGAGGAACACCAGAGGCGAAGGCGGGCGACCUGGACAGGCACUGACACUCAACUACGAAAGCGUGGGGAGCAAACAGG
rnacentral:rRNA from 1 species